CACUCCUGCGGGAGGCAGCAGUGGGGAAUUUUACGCAAUGGGGGAAACCCUGACGUAGCGACACCGCGUGAGCGAAGAAGCCCUUUGGGGUGUAAAGCUCUGUCAGCUGGAACGAAAACAAUGACGGUACCAGCAGAGGAAGCAUCGGCUAACUACGUGCCAGCAGCCGCGGUAAGACGUAGGAUGCGAGCGUUGUCCGGAUUUAUUGGGCGUAAAGAGUUCGUAGGUGGUUUGUUAAGUUUGGUGUUAAAGAUCGCGGCUCAACCCUGGGACUGCACUGAAUACUGGCAGACUCGAGUGUGGUAGAGGCUAGUGGAAUUCCCAGUGUAGCGGUGAAAUGCGUAGAUAUUGGGAAGAACACCGGUGGCGUAGGCGACUAGCUGGGCCAUAACUGACGCUGAGGAACGAAAGCCAGGGGAGCGAAUGGGAUUAGAUACCCUUGUAGUCCCAU
rnacentral:rRNA from 1 species